rnacentral:rRNA from 1 species
UAGAGUUUGAUCAUGGCUCAGGACGAACGCUGGCGGCGUGCCUAAUACAUGCAAGUCGAGCGAAUGAUGAGAGAAGCUUGCUUCUCUAUGAUUUAGCGGCGGACGGGUGAGUAACACGUGGGUAACCUACCCUAUAGACUGGGAUAACUUCGGGAAACCGGAGCUAAUACCGGAUAAUACUUUUGAACUCAUGUUCGAUUGUUGAAAGAUGGUUUCGGCUAUCACUAUAGGAUGGACCCGCGGCGCAUUAGCUAGUUGGUGAGGUAACGGCUCACCAAGGCAACGAUGCGUAGCCGACCUGAGAGGGUGAUCGGCCACACUGGGACUGAGACACGGCCCAGACUCCUACGGGACGCAGCA